GUCAAGAAGAGGAAGUAAAGAGAACCUGAGAGUAGUAGGAAUGGGAACAUGUAGGAAAGCAUAACCUGCUUUGUUUUCACCUCUAGUAUUGGAGGUGAGAAUUCAGUUUGGUAUUUUCCGAUGCCUCCUAUUCCUAUUGUUCUCAAGAACUCCUUCCUUUUCUUAUCGGCU
rnacentral:pre_miRNA from 1 species